GAUGAACGCUGGCGGCGUGCUUAACACAUGCAAGUCGAACGGGAAUUAUUUUAUUGAAACUUCGGUCGAUUUAAUUUAAUUCUAGUGGCGGACGGGUGAGUAACGCGUGGGUAACCUGCCUUAUACAGGGGGAUAACAGUCAGAAAUGGCUGCUAAUACCGCAUAAGCGCACAGAGCUGCAUGGCUCAGUGUGAAAAACUCCGGUGGUAUAAGAUGGACCCGCGUUGGAUUAGCUUGUUGGCAGGGUAACGGCCUACCAAGGCGACGAUCCAUAGCCGGCCUGGGAGGGUGAACGGCCACAUUGGGACUGAGACACGGCCCAGACUCCUACGGGAAGCAGCAGUGGGGAAUAUUGCACAAUGGGGGAGACCCUGAUGCAGCGACGCCGCGUGAAGGAAGAAGUAUCUCGGUAUGUAAACUUCUAUCAGCAGGGAAGAUAGUGACGGUACCUGACUAAGAAGCCCCGGCUAACUACGUG
rnacentral:rRNA from 1 species